UUAAAACUAAGGCUCAGCCUUGUGUUGACCAAUUCCCGGACGGGAACGGUCGAAAAACAUGAAGACUCCAAAGAUGGAAGCAGUACGCAAAAGUAUUCGUGACCAGCCUUUUGGGUCUUGAUUUUUAUCAA
rnacentral:misc_RNA from 1 species